rnacentral:rRNA from 1 species
UGGCGGCAGGUUUCAACAUGCAAGGGAAACGCCGUAGCAAUACGGAGCGGCAGACGGGAGAGUAACUUUGUGCGAACGUACCCUUUGGUUCGGAACAACCCAGGGAAACUUGGGCUAAUACCGGAUAAGCCCUUACGGGGAAAGAUUCAUCGCCGAAGGAUCGGCCCGCGUCUGAUUAGCUAGUUGGUGGGGUAAUGGCCCACCAAGGCGACGAUCAGUAGCUGGUCUGAGAGGAUGAUCAGCCUCACUGGGACUGAGACACGGCCCAGACUCCUACGGGAGGCAGCAGUGGG